rnacentral:rRNA from 1 species
UACGAAGGGGGCUAGCGUUGUUCGGAAUCACUGGGCGUUAAGCGCACGCAGGCGGAUCGAUAAGUCGGGGGUGAAAGCCCGGGGCUCAACCUCGGAAUUGCCUUCGAUACUGUCGGUCUCGAGUCCGGGAGAGGUGAGUGGAAUUCCUAGUGUAGAGGUGAAAUUCGUAGAUAUUAGGAAGAACACCAGUGGCGAAGGCGGUUCACUGGCCCGGUACUGACGCUCAGGUGCGAAAGCGUGGGGAGCGAACCGG